rnacentral:rRNA from 1 species
GACGAACCGAGCGAACGUUGUUCGGAUUCACUGGGCGUAAAGGGUGCGCAGGCGGCCGUGUGUGUGAGGCGUGAAAGCCCGGGGCUUAACCCCGGAAUUGCACCUCAAACUACACGGCUAGAGCAUUGGAGAGGGUAGCGGAAUUCACGGUGUAGCAGUGAAAUGCGUAGAUAUCGUGAGGAACACCAGAGGCGAAGGCGGCUACCUGGACAAUUGCUGACGCUCAGGCACGAAAGCGUGGGGAGCAAAAGGG